UCCACUCACAGAAGGGCUUUCACAGCUGCUAUUCAGCAUGGUCAGCCAAGAGAAGGCAUGGAGUCUUACUGAGUGUCUAUUACAGACAGCACGCUUCACAGAUAAUGUCUUCUUAAAGCCUAUCAGCUAAAGCCUACUAGCAAUACACACGCAGCCGAAGUUGAGGUUAUUAGCUUGUUGCAGCAAGAGAGCACAUAUACAAGAGGAAUCAUGGAAAGCGAAAAGGUGUCAGAUGUGUACCGUGUUCUGAAGACUCUCCCCACCUUCUCCAGCACCCUCCCCCUUUGUCCUUCACAGGCAUUUCCUCCAAUCAGUCUUUCGUCUUCUGCUUCAUGGAAGACCUGACGGACACAGACAACUCAUCUUUACAUCCUCCAUGCCUGGGACAUUGGCAGGGAUUCUGCAGCAGUGAUGAAGAGCAUGGACACAAAUCAUAACCCGGGACUUGUUCCAUGGGUAGCCUUGAGAGCAGGUGACUUCAACCUCUCUGAAACCGAGUUUGAGGUCCUCAUCUAUUAAGUGGUAUUGAUAUUAAUAGCUAUGUCUUACGGCUGUUUGAGAAUGAAUAAGUUAAUGCAUGAAUACGUUUAGCACAGUGCUUAAAAAUCACAAUAAAUAUCUAAUACAAUAUAA